UACGUAGGUGGCAAGCGUUAUCCGGAAUUAUUGGGCGUAAAGCGCGCGUAGGCGGUUUUUUAAGUCUGGUGUGAAAGCCCACGGCUCAACCGUGGAGGGUCAUUGGAAACUGGAAAACUUGAGUGCAGAAGAGGAAAGUGGAAUUCCAUGUGUAGCGGUGAAAUGCGCAGAGAUAUGGAGGAACACCAGUGGCGAAGGCGACUUUCUGGUCUGUAACUGACGCUGAUGUGCGAAAGCGUGGGGAUCAAACAGGAUUAGAUACCCUGGUAGUCAAGGGCG
rnacentral:rRNA from 1 species